rnacentral:tRNA from 5 species
GCCCCGUUCGUCUAGCGGCCUAGGACGUCGCCCUCUCACGGCGGUAACACCGGUUCAAAUCCGGUACGGGGUAC